CAGCUACAAAGACGACGCCGGCUGCGCUCGAGGGACCAGAGGGAGGGAGGCUGCGGACGAGCGCGGGGAGGAGUUUGCGAUGGGAGGCGCUCGCAAGGGCUCCCCCAGUUCUGCGCUGAUAGCCCGGGCACAAAGAGCCCUCUGCACUCGCGCCGCAGGACCGCCGACCCGAGGAAUUUAAUCAGUUGCCUCGAGACCAUGGAAGCAACUAGAAUAAACGGAUCUGAGAUGGUUUAGCCAUCAUGGGCCAGUUUCUUCUCAGCGAUAGUAAUGCUGACGACCCCAGUGUUUGCGGUUUACACACACCCUCCUCAAGUCUUUUCUCAUGGUAUCCCCACCCCCGCAUUUGAACAUAAGUCUUCUGCCCCUUUGGGGGUCAACAGGCCUGUGCAGAAUCAAAAUGCACCACUCUCCAUCAACGUGAUCUUGGAGCAAGUCACUUAAACCCGAAGCUCAGUUUCCCCAUCUGUAAAAUGGACACAAAAAACCCCAACUCAUCGUUUCAUCAGUGGCCCUGUGCGGUGGGCGUCGCUCUCAUCCCCGUUUCCUGGGUAAGAAGACAGUCCCAGCACAGCGGUGCACGUGCUCACGGUGACAGAGCAGGGAUGGGACUCCAUCCCGGAAAGCCUGCGUCCUUUCCAGCGUCUCGGGAUGCUUGGGUCGGCAUGGGCCCGACCAGGAGACCUCCCGGUUUCCUGUUUUGCUUCCGAUCUGCAUCCGAGGAGGGACGGCAGACACCAGCUUCAUGCCGUGUGGUCAGAUCCACCACGAAAUCCAUACGUGCAGAGGCCUCCUGAAUCUCAGAGAUUAACUCUGAGCUAACUGCCGCCAAGCCUCCUCUUUUCGCUGAGGAAGACUGGCCCUGAGCUAACAUCCGUGCCCAUCUUCCUCUACUUUCUAUGUGGGAUGCCUACCACAGCAUGGCGUGCCAAGCGGUGCCAUGUCCGCACCCGGGAUCCGAACCAGCGAACCUCGGGCCACCGAAGCGGAAUGUGCGCACUUAAACGCUGCGCCACUGGGCUGGCCCCCCAUGUUUCAAUUUUUGAUAGAUGUUUUGAUAAUACAUAGGUCUUUGUAGCCACUACAAUAAUAAAGGUCUUUGCUUUUCUGGACAUUUCCUAAAAAUGGAAUCGUGCAGCCUGUGGUCUCUUGUGCCUGGCGUCUUUCGCCCCGUAUGAUAUUUCUGAGGUUCGGCCGUAUCGUAAGUGCGACGAGUUCCUGGGAUGCAGGAGAGAGAAGGGAAUGUCAGGGUUCUUCAGGAUGCCCACAACCACACCGGGGAAACAGCCUUGCAGAUAAGUAUUCAAACUUACCAGCCCCCGGCCGGCCAGCCUGCCCCCCUCCUGGUCUAUGCAGGAGAGUGUGGCAGCCAAGAAUCCCCACGGGAGGGGAGAAACUGGUGACGCAGCUCCUUGGCUUUUCACCUCUUUGCCACAAAGAAAGAGCUUGUCCCCAUUUGAUGGGGCCCCCGAAAGGGUAAUUUUCAUGCCCCGCUUUUGGCCUCAAGGCUUGUAUUUUAUAAAUGCCCCCAUCAGGAACUUCUGAGAGCUGAGUUGAAAGACUUGUCUUGAGGACCUGUAGACGGGUGUCAGAAGGAGGCCCGGGACUCCUGGAGAGUUGGGCUGGCGCUUCUCUUCUCUUCUCAGCUCUAGCCCUUUGCCAUUAUAUUUAUCAAACGUGGCCAGGGCUCCUUUGCCAGGCAGUCAAGAGGGGACCUCAGUGCUGUGCCCUCAGGGCGCAUUCUCAUCAGUGCAGGGGUCUGAGUACAUCUCCGGCUCUGGGCCCGCGCCCCAAGUCCUGGGUGCUGACAGCAAACUCUGAAAAUUCGAGCAGAGAGCCCCAGACUCUCCUGCGGUAGGUCUGCCACUCAACAAGGAUAGCUUUGCUGUCCCCAAAAGCAAUACCUGGGGGAUGGUUCUGGGUCAGGAUUAGUGGGCAAUUGGAGGAGGGUGGGAGGGGGCAGAAAAAUAACCGGCUGAGCACAGGGCUCCUCCUGUUUUGCAUCCACUGCCUCCAAGUAUGGGUUACUAUUGCGCACUUUGAGUGCACGGGUCCCACGGCUCAGAGAGAGGCACAGACUUCCAAGGGCUGCACAGUACGGCAGAGCUGGAACCAGGACUCUGGAUUCCUGACUCUGUUCAGCUGAGUCUGUCUUUACUUUCUCCUGGGUCACAUUCUGCUGAUGUUGGGAGGAGGCAAGUGGGUGCAGGGUGCCCCUUCCUCACUCCAGGACCGUCUGGGUUGGGAGGAAGGGAGGUGAAGGGUGUGUGCCUAGGCCCAGCCCCCCUGGCUCCCGGGCCGCCUUCUUGCUGCCAGAGAAAUCUGGCCAGGCCCGGGCUGGGGAGGGGGCCUGGGCGCGGUUUUCUCCUGGGGCGUGGCUGGCUCUUGUAUUCCAGGAUGGGCCUUGGGGGCUGCGUGGGGAAGGAGCUGGGAGCGGGGCCUGGGCUGCCAACGCCAUGGCCGGGCACUGCCAGAAACACAGCCCAAGCACCUUCUCCCAGCUCGAUGCUGAGGAUCCAGAGGUGAACACCAGAGAUGUGGUUCCGCCCUCUCUGAUCUUCAGGUAAGAACGUGCUUUAGCGCUGUCUCGGCGAGGGAAUGAGCUCCCCGUCCUGGGAGGUGUGCAUGUGUGUGCAUGUGUGUUGGGGGAGGGAGGUGCAGAGGUUCCCUCAGCGGGAAUGUUCUAAAGGGAUCCUGGCCUCCCGAGGACUCGGAAGGCCCUGUGCAUACGCCUGACCCCCAUCCCUCUCCGCCCACGAUGCUCUUGGGGUCGGCUCUGGGCUCCCUUUAUAGCUUUUCCAUCCCCUGAAUAAGCCCUGCUGAGAUGGGGUAUCCGUGGCUUCCAUUGCUUCCUCUCUAUUCCUGAGUUUCCUCUAAAAGGUUUUAGUGUCCAAGGCCGUCAACCCCACCCUGUCUAGGUGUUGGGGGCACAGGAGGGAGACUGGGGUCUCUGAAGGUGCCCCCCUCGGAGGUGGGGUUAGACUGGGGGUAUGGAGAGCUGGGCACGGAGGCUGUGCCCUCCUCCGAGCUCGCUGUGUCUCCUCCAGGCCACUCUGCCCCAGCUGUGUCUCCAAGACUCUUGGCCUGGUCUUCUCUUUGGAGCCCGGGCGACUCUGGACUCCAGCCACGAGGACACACGGAGGAACCUUCGGUGCUUUUCUGGAGCCCUCAACAAUUCCCCGAAGACCUUAUCCUUUCCAGCUCCCGGGAUGAAGCCUCCUGUGGAUAGAGGCCCCCUCCUGGCUGGAGCUCAGCCAAGCACAGGGCCUGGCUGUGGGGGACGGCUCGAGGGGUGUGACGGAGGCUGGCCACCCACCGUCCCCUCUGCACCCACCAUGACCCACCUGCUGGGCCUGCCUGUCCGGGCCCGGAGACCCUUCCUGACCCCGUGUGGACUUCAUUCCUCCCGGCAUCCCUGCUCACGACCAGACAGAGCUCGGCCCGAACCCCACUGACCACCCCGUCCCCAAGGCCGGGUCUCAAAGGACCCUCCAGGACGGACGCAGGAAAGCAGGCUGGGAAUCCGGAGGAGCUGCCAGGGGUUGGGGGUGGGGGGGGCGUCGCAGCUCGGGGGUGCUGUGGGCUGGAGUCUCAUGUGCUGUUUGUCAUGUGAGCGAUUCUUAUUUUGGGGGGUGCCUUUUGGAUGGGGCUUCUCUGUGCUUCUCCUCUUCCUGAUGGUCACAGGGAGGAGGCAGGCAGGGUCGGGGGAGCGGGGGCCUUCCUCCGUGUCGCCGAGCUCUGGGAGGGGCAGCUGGAGGGGAGAGGGUGUGCCGCCUUGAAGGGGGAGAGUUUCCUAGAGAUGAGGGGACCUAGGCCAGGGGAGGUCGCCAGAAGGAGACAGACACUGGGCUUUGUUCCCACCGUCCAAAGAGAAUGGGCUAGAACCCCCCUGGCCCCAAGGCUUGAGGGGUCCCCCCAGCCUGAUGUCAGCCCCCUGCUCCUUGUUGCACCAAUCUCCAAUUGUGUCCUUGGGCAGCAAAGGCAGGCAGGCGGGCCCAGCCACAUGCAGCCUCCCCAUCACACGGCUGCAGACUCACUUCCGGCCCCUUCCGGGUCUCCCCUUAGGCCAAUCCCUCCAGGGGGCCGGUCCCAGUGCUUGUCCUGGAGCAGCCUCAGCCUUUCUUCAAAGCCCCUCAUCAUUUUCCUGGCAGGGGAGGGGGCCUGCAUGAGUCGGCUUGGCUGCCAUCACAGAAUACCCCAGACCGGGGGGCUUCAAAAGCAGAAAGGCAUUUUCUUGCAGUUCUGGAGGCUGGAGGUCCAUGAUCAAGAUGCCAGGGGUGGUUUCCGCUGAGGCCUCUCUCCUUGGCUGCAGGUGGCACCUUCCUACCGUGUCCUCACAUGGCCCCUUCUCUGUGCACACGCGCGGCGGGAGAGAGAGAGCACUGAUGUCUGUUCUUAUAAGGGCGCCAGUCCCAUCAGAUCAGGGCCCCGCCCUUAUGACCUCAUUUAGCCUUACUACCUCCUUAAAAGCCCUGUGUCCAAAUACAGCCACGUGGGGGUUACAGCUUCAACCUAUGAAUUUAGCCCGGAUGGGGUGCGUGAGGGGGGGGGGGGGGACGACACAAUGCAGUUCGCAACCCGUGCUCCCCACAAACCUGGAGCCAUCUCCCCUUCAGAGUCCCCACCCCCCACAGGGAGGGGAAGGAGGAGCAGAGUGAGGGAGGUACUGUGCUCAGGUGGCCCCAGGAGCCUUGGGAACACAGGGAACUGGCUGGACCCAGUGCAGCGAGGGGGCGUCCGCAGGAGAGGGAUGCCCUGGGAAGGGCCCGGGCACAGGGUCCCGAGGGCACGCUCUCUGCUGUUCAAUCUUGGGCAAGUCGCCUCACCUCUCUGAGUCCGAUUGAUUUCCAUUCUUGAAACAGGGGCCCUCUGCUCGCCGGGGUGGGGGGGGGGUGGUGCGCAGGGAGGUUCCCUCGAAAUCCCCUGCACGUCCAGUGCCUCGCUCUUAGUCGGUCCUCGGGAGGCACCCCCAUCCGUCCGGGAGUCCAGACUUAGAGCAUAUCUGGUCCAGGCGCUCUGACUGUGGACUCAGCAUCCCCGACCCAGAGGUGCUUCUGACGGCUCUUCCCCGGCCCGUUUUCUCAGCAUCCCUCUCUAACCAGCUUGGCGAAGUGGCUGCAUUUCAUGGCCUCCAUAGUAGCUCAAAGUGCUUCCUGGGGUAUUUCAAUUCUACCCUUCUCAUCAGAAUGGAGCACUUACCGUGGGUCCUUCCCUGUGUUAGGCCUUUUGAGGGAACACAGGGGACAAUCUGGCCAUCCCACGCGGGAGACAACCAGCUCACAUGGAGAAUUGGACAAUGGGGCAUAAAACGGUCCACUGAGGCACAGGUUCGGAGUGUUUAGGGGCUGGGAGUAAGAUCCCAGUGCGGGCUGCAGCAGGCUGGACAGGCUUCCCAGCGAGGCAGAACCAAGCAGGGCCACGAAGGAUGAGAAAGAUGUGGCUUAGCUGAGAGCUUCUAGGGGGAAAUUAGAGCAGAGAGUCCCAUAACACAUUCUAGGAGAUGUCACUGCUCUUUAAAAAAAAAAACGUGACUUGAAAUUCAGCAAGUUUCUGUAGUGCAGGACUUAUCAGAGCCUUUAAAAUACUAAUGGAGAUCUUGAAUACUCAAGGACAGACAGAGGAUGAAGUGUUCCCCCCAGACUUUACUGGCAACAGAACACUCUUCUUAUAGAGCAUCAUUUAGAAGUGUGGGAGAUGCCAGGCUGGGGUUUCCGUGGGAACACCACAGCAGUGAUAGGAGAUGACAUAUCUAGGGCAUGCUCAGGUGCUUGGCGGCAUCAGCUGGGAAGGCUGAAGACCAGGAGGGACCGGGGAGUCCUGGUGUCAGGAGUCAGGAGAGCUCUCUGCAGUUUCAUAUGCGGGAAGGGCAGGCCCAUGGUCGGAGUAGCCAGAGGCUGGCAGUUGUCGAUGGAAGACAUGCCCACCAGACACGGUGGUUCUGGGGCGUCAGACCUUUCGUGGGAAGAUGCUGGUGCGUGCACGUGUGCGUGUGGGAGUGUGUGCUGAGCGUGACAGGAUCCAGCCUUCUGGGAAGGGGCUGACCAGACCCAGGCAGGGGGUUUCCAGCCAGGACAAGGAGGACCUAUUUUUAGGGGAACUGAAGUGUCUGGGGGGAGGCCCUUGAGGCCUACCGCCAAGAAAUGGGGAAGGAAACGCUUUCGGGCAGGAUCCAUGUGGGUAGGCUUGAUUCUGGUAGGGGUGAGGGGUUUGGAGGCAGACCCCUGCCUGGGCAGUGUUGCAUGGUGGGGUUAACCUACUAACCCAGGGCUCGGCCGGGACGCUGUGGCGAGUGAUGAGGUGCCUGGCCUUCUGCCAACCAACUAACCCACUAACCAGGCCGGAGCAUGCCCUACUAACCCCCCGCAGCCAGACCCUACUAACCUUGGAGCUCAUGGGCCUUUCAGGGGGCUGGGACGUGGGGGCAGACGAGGCUCCGGAAGGCCCUGCCUGUGGCCUGGGAUCUCUGUGCAGACCCGCAUUCCAGGACAGGGCAUGCAAACAGGACUCGCCACCAACCCUGCCACUUUGUGCUGGGCGACUUUGGGCAAGUGCCCUCACCUCUCUGAACCCCAGUUUCCUCAGAUGGGAGGACUGAUCCUUCCUUCACAGAUUGCAGUGGGAUUCCCGUGAAUAUAAAGGUCUUGGCACAUGGCAGGUAAUUAAAAAAAAAUAUAAGGGUGGGCAUGGGAGGCCCAGAAAACCUGGUUGAUCACGUCCCCUGCCUAGGCCCUGGUCCCUCUGGGUGUUCUGCACACAGACCCUUCUGCCUGGGGCCAGACUCUCGCUUGGAACCCCUAACCGUCUCUUCCCCCCAUUCUUCCUCCUCCUCAGCUUUCUUCUCCGUAGGCAGCUCUUUUGUUCGGUUACUAACCCGUCUAACCCGGGGGUGCCCAGCGGCGCCCCGAUCAUCCUUUAACAAACUAACAGACCUGCGUGUGCUCUUCCUUCUCUCCUAGUGACUCCCGCGUGUGUCUGCUGAGGUGCCCUGUCCGCUGGUGUGUGCUCUGACUUACUAACCCAGCCUCUACUAAUCCUGUUUUCUCUUCCUACUAACCCCAGCCCUGCCGAGCUCUGGGCCCUCCCGGGGGCUGGUCCGGCUCCUUUUGGCAAGCAGAUGUCCGGGGGCGGGCCCUGCAGACAGACACCCCAAUUGGCUGCUUGGGAAUCCACUGGGCCAGGUCUGGGGCAGGGGACUGCCCUAGGAACCCCGCCGGUGGCCCAGAGGAGGAGGCGGUCAUGCGGAGGUGGGGGCCGCCUGCCGGCAUGAGCAUCUCUCCUCUGUGCACAAGUCUGGUUGCCACUGGGAGCGGGAGGGACCAGGGAAACCUCUGGGGCGUGAGUGUGGAGGCCUGCGGGGCUGGAGGUGGAGCACUGGGCUUUUCCGCCCUGGGGCAGAGAGGGGGCCUGGGUGUCCUUCUUGGGAGGGAAGCGUGGGCAGAAUUUUCUCUGCUGCAAAGUGAUGGGCAGACCCAAGGUCCUGCACAGGAAGCCAGUGGGGGGCGUGUCCUAGACAGGAAGCCAGGAGAGGGGCGUGUCCUUCAAGGAAGUCAGGAAGGGGCGUGGCCCACACCGGAAGACAGGGGAAGGGGCGUGUCCUGCACAGGAAAUCAGCAAAGGGGCGUGUCCCACACCGGAAGUCAGUGAGGUGAGACUUCCAUACAUUGGAGGUCAAUGAAAGGGUCUUUCUCACGCUGGAAAUUACCAACUGGAGCAUUUAGCCCAGGAAAUCAGAAAGAGGGGGCAGUUCCCAUAUUUGAAGGGUGGAAAGAGGGGCAUUUCUUACCGACGUCAGUGAGAGGGGAGUUUCUGGCCCCACCCCAGGGCGUGAGAAGGCGUGGCCGAGAGAUCAGUGAGAGGGGCCUUUCCGACCACCGGAAGUUGGCUAGAGGGGCCCUUCCCCCCCACGCCUGAAGCGGAUGUGGGCCAUUUUUUCACACCGGAAGUCACUGACAAGGACUGUCACAUACCAGGAAGCUUGGGCAAGCAGUGGGGACAGAUGAUCCGCCCUGGGUCUGGGGUUGCGGGAGGAGCCGAUGGGACGCAGGAAGUGAACCCCCGUGGGCCCGCAGGAAUCGCAGCCAGGACCUCAGCCCGGCUCCCUGUCUGUCCCACCCACACCCCUGCUCCAGCCGUCUCCCCCAGAGCCCGCCAGCCGCUGAGCCGGGGCCACACCUGGGGGUGAUGUGCUGCCUCACCUCCAGUAGGCACCUUGGUCUCUGAGCUACUCGCUCCCUGGCGCCCUCGCACUAACUCUUGCUCUCCCCCAGCUAACCCCUGCCUCGCCCUGGCUGCCCCGGGGGCUGCCCCUAACAGCCGACCCCGCCCGCCUGGGAGUCCCAGGCUCCCGGCCUGACUCCCUCCGAGCGGCUCGUAAUUAACCUGUCCUUCACCUCCACUAACGCCUGCCCUCCUGGUCUGUUCCUUCCAGCAGAAACUAAUGGCUUGUGGAUUUCUUUCUGACUAACAACAGGUCUAACACUCCUCGUCACUAUUACUAUUAACAGCUUGGAUGUCGGCAUGGCUGGGACGGGGCUAACACAGGGAGAGGUGUAGCUGGUCGCGACGGAUGUGGUCCUCUAAAGGUGGUGCGGGGGUGGGGCGUGGCCGGGGCUGAGGGAGGAGUGGUACCCACCCAUGUGGGGUUAGAAGCAUAGUCACUUUCCAAGGUUUUUGCCACUGGAUAUAUCCUGUCAACCCCUCAUAAUCCGCAUUUGGGUUUUGGUUCUUGUAAACAAUAGCCUUAUAGCUGCAGUGGUCCAAACGAGUGGAUGCAGCCCUUGCAGCCCUCAAACGCCUGUCUGGUGUGUACAGAGAAUAGGCCAUUAUGUAUGGAAGAAUCAGUCACCAGCCCAGGGCAUAGAGUCAUUGAUCUGGGGACUUUGGAGUUUUGAAAGCCCUAGGACAUAAAGUUUUAGAUCAGAAUAUUCAGAAGGGUUAUAAAUCCAUCGCCCAUUUACACCUUAGUGUAAAUUAGCUCAGCUUCCUCUUUUAUCUUCCAUGCAAUUUUAGCUGCCCUGACAGAUGAGAGUUUGGCUGGAAGGGAGUUUGGCUCUCUUCGGGCAUGGGGGAGGUCCUUUGGGAGCAGAGAUGGGGAGCCACGGGGCCAGGGUUCCUGGGUGGCGAUGAAAGGUGGCAUCAGGUUGGGGGUGGGGUGGGAAGAGGGACCCGUUUUUCUGGCUCAGUCAGGAUCUGUGGGAGAGGACAGCUCGUGGCAGGGCCUGGAGGAUUGGAACAGCUCAGGGACAGGGUCAGAGGCCAGCCUGGGGGUCCUGCAGGCAGUUUGCUACGGUUCUUGAAUGCUGAUCUGGGGCGGAGAGGCUCUCUGAUUGCCAUGGGCUCAGAGCUGACCGGGUGGAGCUGGCAGCGAGGCCUGAAAGGUGAGGCAGGGAGGCUGAGCUGCAAAGGGAACCAGAGAGGAGAACGCUGCAGGCAGAGCUGCGGGAGGUGCGCUGGCUGCUGGCAGGGACCCGGAUGCGGCAGCGCCUGCCCUGGGGAAGCCCCUCUUCCCGCCCUCUAGUGGCCACUGGUCGCAUUUCACGCAAAGCAGGAAGCUCAGACGCUGCCCUCUCCGGGAGCUCCUCUUUAUUCGACGACCAAGAUUCGAUGCUGCUGAGGACCUACUGUGUGCCCAGCACUGCUCUGGGUGCAAAGACCCACACUUGGGUUUUUCCAUCAUGGUGCUUAUACAGCUCCGUGGGGGAGAUGGAGAAGUAAACAGAUAAUGCAGCGCGAUGGGUGCCGUGAUGGGGGGUCGGGCUGUGGGAGCACCUGGGAGACAGCGAAGGGUGACACGCACCUGCUCUGAGCCAGGCGCAGUGCUGAGUGGUGAUGAAACAGCGUCUGGACUUCAGGAGCCUCAAUGGUAGCGUGUCGGGUGGGCGUGGGGUAUAAAGUGUGGUGCAGGCAGGCAGCGUAGACAUUCUGAGGAGGGAGACAUCGAAGCCGAGCCCUGGCUGGGGCGUCCGUGCUGGGGAUGAGUUCCAGGCAGCGGGAAUGGUGGACACAGAGUUCUGGGGAUCAGAGAGGAUCGGAGAGAUUCUGGAAGGUUCGUGCAGAAUGCAGCAGGAGACAGACGGGAAGUGGACAAGUCCCAGGCUGGGGGCCGUGGAUGUGAUCUGAGAAGGGGAGAUGUUGGAUUUGAGUUUUAGCUGACAGUAUGGCUCUUUCAGCCCAGGUGAAAGUCUGAGGUGCUUACAACGAGUUCUGGUUAAAUUUUGGUUAACCGGCUAGAACUUCUUGAAACAAGCAGGGCCCUUAGGUUCAUCUUGAGAUGAACAGGAGCCACAGAUGCUCGCCCAGGUGGAAGUAGGUCUGCAGUGACGGGGACACAAAGAGGGCUGUGUUCCUGCGGGGCAGGGGCUUGGCGGAGGUGCCAGUGACGUCUUGGAAGAGGAGCCGUCUCGAAAGCAUGUCACCCCGGGCCCUGGUGGGACGCGGCUCCCGGAGGCGAUCCGAGGGGCUGUGGCCCAGGGCUGGAAGUCUGCAGGAGAAUCCCAUUGGAGAGGGAGCCCAGUUGUCUUGUGUGGCCGCGAGGGGGACACACAGCACUUCAGAGAAAACCCAGGUUCUCACUGUCAGGAAGCUUACACUUCACUGAGAAAGCAAAGAGUUCCUUGGUGACAAAGAAAAAGGUGGAAAGAAUUUAGUGUAUCGGGGUGAAGGGCUGGCAAAUACAUGACACGCGUAUUGCCACUCUCCCUUCCAGCACCCAGGACAGACAUUGCUAGCUGAUCACCGAUCUCUCUUUGGGAACCUGGC
rnacentral:lncRNA from 1 species